rnacentral:misc_RNA from 1 species
AAGAGACGUUGCCCUUCGGGGUUAUACCUCCCACCCUUUGUUUAUUUCUACCUUUGUUGCUUUGGCGGGCCCGUCCUCGGACCACCGGCUUCUGCUGGUCAGUGCCCGCCAGAGGACCUAAAACUCUGUUUGUUAAUAUUGUCUGAGUACUAUAUAAUAGUUUAA